AUACGGCUCUGGAUGAAAGGAAAUGGAAGACUGUGUUAGUUUUGUAGGUCCGCGAAUUAAAUCCUAACCGGAUAAAUGCACUUUACGUUGAAGGUUUGACUGCUUUGGAUGUCAGUAUGGACCAUACAGAGAAUAAAAACAGCUUUGAUGAUGACCAAAAUUCAGAAGAUCAGCUGAGCCAAUCUCAAGGAGUGGAGUUAGGCAACAGGCCUUCUUUGUCUGAGGUUAGGAAGUCCUGGGGUUUCAGACGCUCAACCCUAGCAAGACGGGAGUUCAUCGAUGAAGUCGUAGACCUAACCAACAGUCCUGCCCCGGUUCGAAGGGGCAGGGGUCGCAGAACCAAUCAGACUACUGCAGAGACCUGCAGCUCACACAGCACUGCACUCUCAACCAGGAGUGUUAUAGAAGAUCUCCAGUGGUCUGCUCCAUCCUCACCCACAUCUGAGGAUAGUAAGCCGGCCUCAGAGCCAGAAGCCUCUGCUGAGGGAAGCCUUGAUCCCAGUUUAUGGCAUGAUGUUGGGUCUGCGUUUCAUACUGCUUUCUCACUCCUGGGGGGAGACGAGGGCCUUUCAAUGCCCAUGCCGGAAGCACUGGUGGUUCCUGACAUGUUAGAAGCACCAGGUUUCCAUGAUAUCUUCAAUUCACAGGCAUUAGAAGACUCUGAAGUACUUGAUAAUGUGCAUGAGCUGGAGCUAUCUGAACAAUUAUCCCCUGGUAGUGUGAUUUCAAUCCCAAACCAGGAGGACAGCGAUGACAUGACUCUGAUGCAGAUAAAGGAGCAACUAGAGUCUAAUAUUAAAGAGGGGAGCACAAAGGCGAAAGCAGGUAGAGGUGGAAGAGGUCGGGCUAGAGGACGGGGGAGAGGCAGAGGACGAGGUAGAGG
ensembl:lncRNA uncharacterized LOC114466559